rnacentral:rRNA from 1 species
GACGAACGCUGGCGGCGUGCUUAACACAUGCAAGUCGAACGAAGUGGCGAACGGGUGAGUAACGCGUAAUCAACCUGCCCAUCAGAGGGGGACAACAGUUGGAAACGACUGCUAAUACCGCAUACGGAAGGAGGAGAUUGCGUCUGAUUAGCUAGUUGGAGGGGUAACGGCCCACCAAGGCGAUGAUCAGUAGCCGGUCUGGUGGGAUUGACCGCCCAAUUGGGACUGAGAACCCGCCCAGACGUCUACGGGCGGCAGCCGUGGGGGAUCUUGCGCAAUGGGCGGAAAUCUGACGGAGCAACGCCGCGUGGGUGAUGACGGCCUUCGGGGUGUUAAGCUAUGUUAAUCGGGACGCGGUACCGGAAUAGGAAGCCACGGCUAACUCCGUGCCAGCAGCCGCGGUAAUAC